rnacentral:rRNA from 1 species
GACGUAGGGAGCAAGCGUUGUCCGGAAUUACUGGGCGUAAAGAGCUCGUAGGCGGGAGCGUAAGUCUCAGAGUAAAUCCCACGGCUCAACUGUGGGGCCUUCUGGGAUACUGCGUUUCUUGAGGAUGUCAGAGGAAAGUGGAAUUCCCGGUGUAGCGGUGAAAUGCGCAGAUAGUCAGGAGGAACACCGGUGGCGAAGGCGGGUCUCUGGGCCGAUACUGACGCUGGAGGAGCGAAAGCGUGGGGAGCGAACAGG